UGGCGGACGGGUGAGUAACGCGUGGGUAACCUGCCCUGUACAGGGGGAUAACAGUUGGAAACGGCUGCUAAUACCGCAUAAGACCACAGCACCGCAUGGUGCGGGGGUAAAAACUCCGGUGGUAUGAGAUGGACCCGCGUCUGAUUAGCUAGUUGGUAAGGUAACGGCUUACCAAGGCGACGAUCAGUAGCCGACCUGAGAGGGUGACCGGCCACAUUGGGACUGAGACACGGCCCAA
rnacentral:rRNA from 1 species